AACUUUUCCCCUAAAUCCUUUCCCUCCCUAAAUCUUUUCUGCCCCAAAAAAUAAUUAUGCCCAAAAAUAUUCCACCAAGUUAAGUUUUACCUAAAUUAUUCCCGUACUUCUUCUUCCCUAAAACAUGGUUCUUGUCAUCUAGUUAAGCAGAUUAGGGUAGAUUUUGUGAAAAUUGCUGAUGGAGAUGCUUAAUUUCUUCUAAUUGCUCUUCUCAAAAGUCAAAACCCUCUUAUUUAGGUUUCAAUUGGGAAGUUCGUUUGCUUAGGGUUGCAACUGCUAUAAACUUCAUUUUUGCACAGCGUUUCAGCAUUUCCGCACAGCGUUUCAGCACAUCAUUUAGGCAAUUUCUGCGUUUAGGGCAGUGUUUGGAAGGAGCAGCCUGGUCGAAUACGCUGUUAUGGUAGAUCAGUGACAACAAGUUCUCUGAAAAAAGAUGAGGAAAUCAAUAAGCUCCAACAAAAGCAUAACAACGAAGUCUCUACUUUGAAAGCAGAAAUGCAAGAAAUGAGAGAAGAAAUGCAUGAAUUGAGGCAAAUGCGUCAUUGCUUUAAUCUACUGGUGAAAAACAAUCCUGAACUUUUUAGUUCAGAUAUACAAGGAUUUGUCGGAUCUAACCAACCUUCUCCGGUUGAUGCAAGUAGCGCACAAGCUGUAAGGGGCCAAAAUCUCCCACAUUCUUCUUGAUCAACCCAUGGUCCAAUUCUUGAAAAGGAGAAAGCGGAUGAUGCAAUUGAAAAUGGUGUCCGAAAGUCAAUUUGAUCUUAAUGUGAAUGCAAAUAAUUUUUGGAUAAUUAAGAUGUCUAAUAUUCAUGAUACUAUAUGAAUAUACUCACUUUUGAAAAGUUUAUUGUUAAUGAGCAUUUUGACACACUGUUUUA